GCGAGAGGAAGAUAGAAAUUCAUUAGACUGUCAAUCCACUGACAUUUGUGUGAUGUGAAUAUGCAGGUUCUGAUCGC